UCCCUGGUGAUCUAGUAGUUAGGAUUUGGUGCUUUCACCUCUGUGGCCUGGGUUCAAACCCUGGUCUGAGAA
rfam:Sus scrofa chromosome 15.